ensembl:snRNA U6 U6 spliceosomal RNA
GUGCUCACUUUGACAGCACUUACACCAAAAUUGGAACAUACAGAGAGUAGCAUAGCCCCUGUGCACAUGACAUGCAGAUUGGGGACACAUUACAUAUGUGU